GAUGAACGCUAGCUACAGGCUUAACACAUGCAAGUCGAGGGGUAACGAGAGGAAAGCUUGCUUUCCUUGUCGACGACCGGCGCACGGGUGAGUAACGCGUAUCCAACCUGCCCCCAACUAGGGAAUAACCUUGCGAGAGUAAGACUAAUACCCUAUAAUUUCCUCAGAUGUCAUCUGACGAGGAAUAAAGAUUUAUCGGUUGUGGAUGGGGAUGCGUCUGAUUAGCUUGUUGGCGGGGUAACGGCCCACCAAGGCAACGAUCAGUAGGGGUUCUGAGAGGAAGGUCCCACACAUUGGAACUGAGACACGGUCCAAACUCCUACGGGAGGCAGCAGUGAGGAAUAUUGGUCAAUGGGCGGAAGCCUGAACCAGCCAAGUAGCGUGCAGGAUGACGGCCCUAUGGGUUGUAAACUGCUUUUAUACAGGAAUAAAGUUAGCCACGUGUGGUUAUUUGUAGGUACUGUAUGAAUAAGGACCGGCUAAUUCCGUGCCAGCAGCCGCGGUAA
rnacentral:rRNA from 1 species